UUGGACUUCUAGCCUCCAGCACUCUGAGAAAAUAAUUUCCUGUUACUUAAGCCACUCAGUCUGUGGUAUUUUGUUAUGGUAGUUCAAGUAGAUUAAUACACCUUUCUUCAAAGCUUAUUUAGGUAUUCCUCAGCCAAGAAACCCUCCUUCUGGGCACAAAAACCUGAACAACCACUUCAUUCUCAAGUUUCAAGGGAGUUCAGGUCCCAGAAAAGCUGUGAAAUUCAAUUUAAAAACCCCAAGGAACUUGGGGCUGGGGAUAGGGAGGUGCUCAAAGGUAUUAUAAAUUUUCUUUCAGCCACAGCAUGUACGAUAAACAGGAAUUUUGUGUUUUGUUUUCUAAUUUCAUUGCCGUUAUUCCACUGUUUCCACAAUGGAUCUGAGGUUAUGAAAUGGCUAAGAAUUAAUCAUGCAGUUCCUCUAGGCCAUUGUAAUGAUGCCUCUACUUUGAGUCACAUGAAAAGUCUUUGGACGGAAGAAAGCAGAAGAGCCACAUAACUUAUGUUUUAAAAUACUCACUGGAUGACUACGUGAAGAAUGGUCUGUAGCAGUCAAGAAUGGAAGCAGAGAGGCCAGCUAAAAGGCUAUUGCAUUACUGAUAGAUGACAAUGAUUUAGACUAGGAUGUGGAUUGGUGUACGGAAUUGGUUAGGUGCUAGAUAUUCAGCAGUUCCCUUUUAUGUUCGGGGGAUAUGUUCCAAAACCCCAAGUGGAUGCCUGAAACCACAAAGAAUACUGGACCCUACACUAUGGUUUUUCCUAUACAGCUUAUUGUAUGCAGUAUUUUCAAACUGGGUCCACCACAGGUAACUGAAACCACAGAAAGCAAAACUGCAGACAAGAGUGGACUACUGCAUUUAAAAGUUCUAGAUAUUGAGAAGUCCAAGAUUAAGGCAAUGGCAUUGAUGAGAGCCUUCUUGCUGGGUCCUGAAGAGGGGAGGAAUACCAUGUCCUCACAUGGCAGAAAGCGGAAGAGCAAAAAGAAAGAGAAAGAGAGAAAAGAGAGAGAGAGCAAAAUCCCUCCAUCAAGCCCUUUAUAAUGGCAUUAGUCCAUUCAUGAGAGCAGAGCAUUCAUGUUCUAAACAUCUCCCACCAGACCUCACCUUCCAACACUGUUGCAUCGGGGAUGGAUUUUCAACAUGACUUUUGAAGGGGACAAAAGCAUUCAAACCACAGCAAUUAGAAAAUGCACGUGGUAUAUAUUAAGUGACAAAAACCUAAACGAAUUUAGUGUAAACUGUUCUAAUGUUUGUCUAUCUUCCUUUCUGAGAACAAACAAUCGAUUCCAAUGAUUUUGGAUAACCACAUCGUGAAGUGGCUCUUUUUUCAAGGCUUGAAACAACAAAACUGAGGGAGUGAAUUAAGGGCAAAAAUCUACUUUUAAUUUAAGAAUUUAUAUGAGUGACUGGAGCACAGAGGGCAUUUAUAAGGGUGCUUACUAGGGAAGGGGGCAUCGAGUCACCACUGCUUUGGUCAAAUUGUACUUCAGUCAACCAAAUCUUCAUGGGUUCAUGGAACAAAUCAAGUAAUUGGGGAUCCAGCAGAAGUAAAGCACAACAAUCUAAAAGAAUAAUGGACCCACUGCCCAUUACUGACUAUACAUUGUAAAUAACCAGUCCAUGGAUGUGUCCCUGCAUUGGAACCCAAGAUUAAGAUUUGGAUAUGGAUGAUGUAUGCUUAUAUAAGUCUUUUUACUUGUUUGUCUACACUGUCUUAAUAAAUCAGUCUUUUUUUUCUACAUGCCUUGUGGAAAGUAUACUUCAUUUCAUCAAAAUAAAUAAGUAGGCUAGGGAGAUUUUGGAUAAAUUAGUCCUUAAAAUUAUCAAUUUAACCCAGAAAACACUUUAUAACCUGAUGUGGUUUGGCUGUUUCCCCACCCAAAUCUCAUCUUGAAUUGUAGUUCCCAGAAUUCCCAUGUGUUGUGUGAGGGGCCCAGUGGAAGGUAACUGAAUCAGGAGGAUGGGUCUUUCCUGUGCUGUUCUUGUGGUAAUGGAUAAGUCUCAUGAGAUCUGAUAGUUUUAUAAUGGGGAGUUCCCCUGCACACACUCUCUUGCUUGAUGCCAUGUAAGACAUGACUUUUGCUCCUCCUGUCUUCCGCCAUGAUUGUGAAGCCUCCUCAGCCAUGUAGAACUGUGAGUUCAUUAAACCCC
rnacentral:lncRNA from 1 species